GAAAACAAUUAUAUUUGGUGUGGAGGAGCAAGCUUCACUUUUAGGUCUCAAAUCUAUAGAUGUCAUUUAUGAAGGGAAAAUGGUGAUAGGAUGCAUAUAUGGUGGACUUAAACCCAAAUCAGACAUUCCCACACUCCUUCAAUGGUACAUAGAUAAGAAACUACAAUUGGAUUCAUUUAUCUCACAUGAAGUUGGGUUUGAAGAUAUC
rnacentral:misc_RNA from 1 species